GACGAACGCUGGCGGCGUGCUUAACACAUGCAAGUCGAACGGUAAAGGCGUGUGGUUGCUACUUCCGUGGCAAACGCGUAAGGAAGACUAACGCGAGAGCCACCUCACCCGGAGUCAAGGAUGGGCGACUGAAACGAAUACUAGUAACGAAUACGCCGCGGGGGGGGAUGCUGACAGCGUGUACAGUGCUGGAGUUCGGGACGGGCUCGCGGCCUAUCAGCUUGUUGGUGAGGUAACGGCUCACCAAGGCGACGACGGGUAGCCGGCCUGAGAGGGGGACCGGCCACACUGGGACGGAGACACGGCCCAGACUCCUACGGGAGGCAGCAGUGGGGAAUAUUGCACAAUGGGCGCAAGCCUGAUGCAGCAACGCCGCGUGAGGGACGACGGCCUUCGGGUUGUAAACCUCUUUUAGCAGGGAAGAAGCGAAAGUGACGGUACCUGCAGAAAAAGCACCGGCUAACUACGUG
rnacentral:rRNA from 1 species